UUCAGGGAAGACUAUGCAUCAGGAACUCAGAAAAAAGUCUCUGGAGAAUAAAGUCAGCCGCAAUCAGGCUCUCACCUACACAUCAGGUCACAGGAAGGGGCGAAUCACAUAUUUCUUGUGCCAAAGGUUUGCAUGUCUGAAGACCUGAGAAUUCCUAAGUACCUACUUCCUCUUUUUGCUUGAAAAUUUGCUCGAAGCCCUUUCAAAGUCAGCAUGUCAGGUUCAUCCAAAUACACAGUCCACAUCCCUCUGAUGUCUUAUUGUGUUUCAUUUUGCCAUAGACGAUGAUCCCAAGUUUUCAAAAAUCCAGACCCGCAUCAUUGCAAGUUCUGGCAGUUUCUUUCAAGCUUAAAAGACUCAAGCGUGUGAGCCCAGGAAAUGGCCAUCCCCUUCUCUGUGGUCUGUUGACAAAUUUAGCUAAGAAAGAGACUCAUCCCCAGACUAGCCAAGUGGGUGAUAAAUGUUUCAGCAGCCCACGACUCUCAGAUACUUCCUACUAAAUCUUAACAAGAUUGUGGUGUAUGUCAGGGAAGGAAGCCUACACAAUCAAGGAAUUACAGCGUCUUGAGGAAACAUUUAAAGCGCACAGAAAUGAGUAUACUUUUCUUGAUUUGGAAUUGAUUUUCAACCAGCUGACCAAUAAAUAUUGACUGAGUGCCUGCUAGAUAA